UGAUUGUGCGCAUGUCGUGGUUCUCCGCGCGGCACUGCCGUAGCGGAGCUAAGAGGGAAGCCGGUGCGAUGCCGGCGCUGCCCCCGCAACUGUUAGCGGCGAGCCAAGCCCAUUGGUGUCACUGAGGCGAACGGCCUCGGGAAGACGGGCAGAGGCUUUGACCCGCGAGCCAGGAGACCUGCCACGACGAACAACGUCCAC
rnacentral:ncRNA from 14 species